AGCCGGUCAUAGCGUUGGGGUGCGACCCAGACCCUUUCCGAACCUGGAAGUCAAACCCAAUGUCGCUAUCGUGUUACUAAGAUGCGAGAGCUCUUGGGAAGUGAUAGUGCUGGCAUUUUAU
rnacentral:rRNA from 1 species